rnacentral:rRNA from 1 species
GAUGAACGCUGGCGGCGUGCCUAAUACAUGCAAGUCGAGCGAACGGACGAGAAGCUUGCUUUUCUGAUGUUAGCGGCGGACGGGUGAGUAACACGUGGAUAACCUACCUAUAAGACUGGGAUAACUUCGGGAAACCGGAGCUAAUACCGGAUAAUAUUUUGAACCGCAUGGUUCAAAAGUGAAAGACGGUCUUGCUGUCACUUAUAGAUGGAUCCGCGCUGCAUUAGCUAGUUGGUAAGGUAACGGCUUACCAAGGCAACGAUGCAUAGCCGACCUGAGAGGGUGAUCGGCCACACUGGAACUGAGACACGGUCCAUGCUCCUACGGGAGGCAGCAGUAGGGAAUCUUCCGCAAUGGGCGAAAGCCUGACGGAGCAACGCCGCGUGAGUGAUGAAGGUCUUCGGAUCGUAAAACUCUGUUAUUAGGGAAGAACAUAUGUGUAAGUAACUGUGCACAUCUUGACGGUACCUAAUCAGAAAGCCACGGCUAACUACGUG